rnacentral:rRNA from 1 species
CCUACGGGGGGCUGCAGUGAGGAAUAUUGGUCAAUGGACGAGAGUCUGAACCAGCCAAGUAGCGUGAAGGAUGACUGCCCUAUGGGUUGUAAACUUCUUUUAUAUGGGAAUAAAACGUUCCACGUGUGGGAUUUUGUAUGUACCAUAUGAAUAAGGAUCGGCUAACUCCGUGCCAGCAGCCGCGGUAAUACGGAGGAUCCGAGCGUUAUCCGGAUUUAUUGGGUUUAAAGGGAGCGUAGGUGGAUUGUUAAGUCAGUUGUGAAAGUUUGCGGCUCAACCGUAAAAUUGCAGUUGAAACUGGCAGUCUUGAGUACAGUAGAGGCGGGCGGAAUUCGUGGUGUAGCGGUGAAAUGCUUAGAUAUCACGAAGAACUCCGAUUGCGAAGGCAGUUCACUGGACUGCAACUGACACUGAGGCUCGAAAGUGUGGGUAUCAAACAGGAUUAGAUACCCUUGUAGUC